rnacentral:rRNA from 1 species
AUGGAGGCGCAUAUGGCGGCGGCCCGACCGCCGACGCACCACCACAACCACAGCCACAGCCAGCAGCAGCAGCAGAAGGCGGCCAACCUGGCGCGCACGUUCACCAAGCUGCUCCGCCGGAAGCGCUCCGACUCCGCGGCGGCGAAGGCGGGGGCCGGGGCCGGGGCCAAGGAGGCGGAUGCGCCGCCGUCCGUCACCGGGGACGACUACGACAGCUCCAUGGACGCCACCACCCCCACCACCGCCACCACGGCCACCAUGCCGUCGCUCAGCAAGCUCAAGCUCUCCGGGAACCUCGCCGCGGCCUACUCCCUCGACGCCUUCUUCCGCAACGCCGCCGAGAAGAAGGCCGCCGGGGCGCCCCAGCAGCAGCCCUCGCCGCCGGCCGCCGCGACGGUUGCCGCCGCGGACUCCCUCCUCGCCAAUCUGUUCGCGGGCGUCUCGGCCGUCAAGGCGGCCUACGCGCAGCUGCAGCUCGCGCAGUUCCCCUACGACGCGGAGGCCAUUCAGUCCGCGGACGCCGCCGUGGUCGCGGAGCUCACCAGGUUGUCCGACACCAAGCGGAGGUUCCUCAAGGAUCCCGCCGGCGCGGCCAGGGACGCCGCGGCGGCGGGCAACACCGCCCUCUCCGCGCAUGCCGAGGAGCAGCGGCAUCUGCUCAAGACGUACCAGAUCACGGCGCGCAAGCUGGAGGCGGAGCUCCGUGCCAAGGAUGCGGAGCUCGACCGCGCCAAGGGCUCCCUCGAUGCGGAGCUCCGGGCGGAGCGCGCCAUGGAGGUGCGCCUGCAUCCGGGCCGCACCCUCGCGUCGCUGGACGAGCUCCACGUCUCCGGCCUCAACCCCACCCACUUCCUCACCGCCCUGCGGCACGCCGUGAAGUCGAUCCGCUCCUUCUCCAAGUCAAUGCUCAGCUCGAUGCAGGCAGCUGGGUGGGAUCUGACCGCGGCGGCCGCCGCCGUCCACCCAGGCGUCCCGUUGCGACGGGCCGGGGACGCCAAGUUCGUCUUCGAAUCCUACGUCGCCAUGAAGAUGUUCGCCAAUUUCCACCGGAGGGACUUCAAUUUCAGCUUCUUGGACGAGCGGGAGUUCUACGAGCGGCGCCGCUUCUUCGAGGAGUUCACGGAGCUCAAGGCGGCGCCGGCCAGCGUCUUCCUCGACGUGCGGAACACCCGGUGGAGCGGAUUCGGCAAGUUCUUGCGCGCCAAGUACCUGUCGCUGGUGCACGCCAGGAUGGAGACGGCCUUCUUCGGCAGGCAGGAGCAGCGCGGCAUCGUGAGCGCCGGGCCCGGGUUCCCGGAGAGCUCGUGGUUCGCCGAGUUCGCGGAGAUGGCGCGCCGCGUGUGGCUGCUGCAUUGCCUCUUCUACGCGUUCGACGGCGGCGACGAGGAGGACGGCACGUCCAUCUUCCAGGUCCGGACCGGCGCGCGGUUCGCGGAGGUGUACAUGGAGAGCGUCAACGACGGGCGCACGGAGGACGCGUUCUGCACCGCCGCCGAGGACCGAACCGUCGGGUUCACCGUAGUACCUGGGUUUAGAGUCGGCCGUACGGUGAUCCAAUGCCGCGUGUACCUGGCGCGGCCGGGACGGCGGCCGUGA